CGAGGACAGGAUGAGGGCGAGGGCUCGCUCCGCUUCAUGGGAGAGAAAAAUGUGAAAGGUGAGACUGAGAAGAGGCCUUGACAGCAGCUGUGGCUCAGUGGGAAGACCUGGGUCCUCACAGGUUUGAUAACCGUGCAGGUGGAACACCUUCGGUCCCGAUUCAUCCUCCAGCCUUUAACGUCACCAGAAACAGGCCUGAGGAGUUUUUCCACAUGUUCCCCUGAUACACUGAUGGCUGGGAUGACAGAUCCCAUGAUGGGCCCGCAUCCUGCUCUGGAUUCAUGCUGAGAUACUGUAUGAAACACUUUUCAAAGCACAGCGAUGACGGAGUGAAAUCUCACCAGAUGAACGUGAAAUUCCUUUGGUUAAAAAUAUUGUGAAUAUUUCCCAAGUGAUAAGCUUCUUUUUGAAGUGGCUGUAGAGCAGCAGUUGUUCAUGCUGGCAGCCACAACAAGUUUGGAGCAGAAGAUGUUCUUUGAAACAUGAACAACAACAACAACUGAUCUGCAGUCUUCAUCAGUACAUGGAGUUUGCUUUCUGAGUUAAUGUUAACUGUUAUUGUUUUUUUUAGGUGAUUUGUUGUUGUACUUUCUUAUUCGCUGUUGCUUUUUGUUUUUGUUUAGUGAUUCACUGUUGUGAUUUGCACUUCAAGGCCAUCGUAGGUUUUACAGUAAAUGAUGUCUGAGAUUUGACAGAUAACAAUCACAUGUUAUAUUUACUUGAUUUGUUUUUGCUGCUUGUCUUUGUGUUAUCAUAACCUCUUGUAUUUGCCCUGACUUGUUUAUAUCCCCUUAUUGCACAAUUUAAAAAAAUGAACAUAAAAUCUGCAUUAAAAACAUACAAACAUAAAAAAAGAUGCCAAUCACACAAA